rnacentral:rRNA from 1 species
UACGAAGGUCCCGAGCGUUGUUCGGAAUCACUGGGCGUAAAGGGAGCGUAGGCGGCGCGGUAAGUCAGAUGUGAAAUCCCGGGGCUCAACCCCGGAACUGCAUCCGAUACUGCCGUGCUAGAGGAUUGGAGAGGUAGCUGGAAUUCUUGGUGUAGCAGUGAAAUGCGCAGAUAUCAGGAGGAACACCGGUGGCGAAGGCGGGUCUCUGGGCAACUACUGACGCUGAGGAGCGAAAGCGUGGGGAGCGAACAGG